CUUAUCCCAAGAGAAUUCUAGAAAAUUCAAGAGGAAGAAGAGAAGAGAAACUUGAAGCUAGAGAGAGAGAGCUCGGUUUUGGGGGAUAAAAAGAGUUUAGAGCAGCCCAAAAACGUUACCAAGCAGUCCCAAAGUUCUAGCUACACUAGGAGAGCUUCCGAGGCAAGUUUUGGCGAGUUUCGGGGAAGAAAAACAAGUUGGACACAUAAGCGUAGCUAGUAAGGCGCGACACAGGUACACCCAGAUGAGUAGAAGCUAUUAUAAAAGAUGUUCCAGUGGAGUUAGCAACUCCACUUGUUCCUGGAUUGCGGCCGGGUCAGAGUAUAUGCGAUAUGAUGUUUCGUUCAAAGUUAGAGACUUUGCAGACAGAGUCGUGAGUAUAGAGUGUCAGCUUUGUAAGCGGCGUCAUGAGCCGAUAUGUUAUUAUGUCUUUGUCCCGAGUUUUAUGGGAUAAUAGAUUUUGAAAAAAAAUAUUAAUUCGGGAAGCUUAGUUAUGUUUUUCAUUUCUUAUUGAUGUAAAAGUCUAAAGAGAUUAAGUAUGUACUAUGAAGCAGCGGGUUCGCUCGGCUCCAAGCAUGGGGUCGGGUGCCCAUCACACCCUAUUAAUAUCGGGGUGUGACAUGUUCUUAUAUA